AAAAUAGUAUUGGGGUGCUUAAUUAGUUAGCUGAGAUUAUACCCAUUGAACUUGCUGGAUAAUGCCAGUAAAAGGAAUACAAUAGGCAAAGGG
rnacentral:ncRNA from 1 species